GAUGAAGAACGCAGCGAAAUGCGAUACUUGGUGUGAAUUGCAGAAUCCCGUGAACCAUCGAGUCUUUGAACGCAAGUUGCGCCCGAAGCCACUAGGCCGAGGGCACGCCUGCCUGGGCGUCACACGUCGUUGCCCCCCCAUCUACUCCUUCGGGAUUGCGGGGGGGCGGAUGAUGGCCUCCCGUGCGCCUAGCCGCGCGGUUGGCAUAAAUGCCAAGUCCUCGGCGACGCACGCCACGACAAUCGGUGGUUGCGAAACCUCGGUUGCCCGUCGUGUGCGUUCGUCGCGCAUCGAGGGCUCGAAAAAAUGCUCGGCUUCGGCUCGGCUUUCAACGCGACCCCAGGUCAGGCGGGGUUACCCGCUGAAUUUAAGCAUAUCAAUAAGCGGAGGA
rnacentral:misc_RNA from 1 species